AACGGCCGCGGUAUUUUGACCGUGCAAAGGUAGCAUAAUCAUUAGUCUUUUAAUAGGAGGCUGGUAUGAACGGCCUGACGAGGUGUUGACUGUCUCAUUUAAUUUUAUUAGAAUUUAACUUUUUAGUGAGAAGGCUAAAAUGUAAUUGGAAGACGAGAAGACCCUAUAGAGCUUUAUAAUUUAAAUGAAUUAUAAUUAUUAUGAUUAUAUUUUAGGUGAAUUAUUUUGUUGGGGUGACAAAAAUAUAUAAUUAACUUUUUUAUUUAUAUAGCAUUGAUUUAUGUUUAUUAGAUCCAAUCCUAUUGAUUGAUAGAUUAAGUUACCUUAGGGAUAACAGCGUAAUCCUUCUUGGGAGUUCUUAUCUACAGAAGGGCUUGCGACCUCGAUGUUGGAUUAAGAUAAUAAUUAGGCGCAGUAGCUUAAUAUAUAGGUCUGUUCGAC
rnacentral:rRNA from 1 species